rnacentral:misc_RNA from 1 species
GAAAUGCGAUACGUAGUGUGAAUUGCAGAAUUUGUGAAUCAUCGAAUCUUUGAACGCACCUUGCACUCCUCUGGAGUAUGCCUGUUUGACAAUCCAUUUAAAUAUUUAUUCUUUAUGAGUAAGAUUUGAGCAUUUGAUGUCGCAGUCAAUAGCUUUAAAUGAAUUGCUUUAGUAGUUAACGCUAUAUUGCGAACCACUUAAGUGUAUGAAGGGCUUGCCCACUUCCUUUAGUGUUAGUGAUUGUUAAUCUGCUAAUUCCCCACGCAGUUUCGACUGCACAUAAGUUGGGUAACCAGCUUGAACUCGGGUGUCAAAUCAGGUAGGAAGACCCGCUGAACUUAA